AACUUCUUUCUUCUCUACAGGCUUUGGGAGGAAGUCUGAGAGGAUGGUGGUUCAGAUACAGAGUGAAUGAGCAGACAUGUACAAGAUGAUGGCUUUUGCAGGAGCAACAAAUGUUGAUCUCUGAACCAUUGUAUAUUGCUGAUGUAACCAUUUGGUCUAGGAGUGGGUGUGGCAGCUCACAUUUAUUUUUAUAGCUCAAGUGAAUCAUGACAUAGUUUCAUCUUUUUCUUUUUUUAUUUUCAAAUUUCACUACUAUGACUGUAUUUAGUUGUCUCUGUAUUGUCAAGUGACCUCAAGCUUUGUUGGGUGAUGCCUCCUUGCCUUAAACCGGAUACAGGCCUUGAUGAUACUGCAAUAAUUUUGUUUUAAUGAUU
rnacentral:sRNA from 1 species